rnacentral:rRNA from 1 species
AUUGAACGCUGGCGGCAGGCCUAACACAUGCAAGUCGAACGAGUGGCGGACGGGUGAGUAAUGUCUGGGAAACUGCCUGAUGGAGGGGGAUAACUACUGGAAACGGUAGCUAAUACCGCAUACCAUCAGAUGUGCCCAGAUGGGAUUAGCUAGUAGGUGGGGUAAUGGCUCGACUAGGAGACGAUCCCUAGCUGGUCUGAGAGGAUUACCAGCCACACUGGAACUGUGCCACUGUCCAGACUCCUACGGGAGGCCGCAGUGGGGAAUAUUGCACAAUGGGCGCAAGCCUGAUGCAGCCAUGCCGCGUGUGUGAAGAAGGCCUGCGGGUUGUAAAGCACUUUCAGCGAGGAGGCGUUACUCGCAGAAGAAGCACCGGCUAACUCCGUGCCAGCAGCCGCGGUAAUUC